rnacentral:rRNA from 1 species
CGCGGUAUCCUGACCGUGCUAAGGUAGCGAGAUAAUUUGUCCUUUAAUUGUGGGCUUGUACGAAUGGGUUAAUGAGAAUUAAGCUGUCUCUAAGUUAUAGAAAUUAAUUUUAAGGUGAAAAAGCUUUAAUAUUUGUAUAAGACAAAAAGACCCCAUAGAGCUUAUUUUUAAGUUGUAAAAAAAAAAGUUUUUAAAUAUUAGGUUUUUAUUAGCUAAAAAUUAACUGGGGCGGUUAAUGAAGUUUACAAUCUUCUUUUUUUUGUUAAAAAUAAUAGUUUGGUUAGAUUUAUAGAUCCUUUAAAAGAUUAGAAGAAUAGCUACCUUGGGGGUAACAGACUAAUUUUUUUUGAAAGUUCUUAUUGACAAAAAAGUUUGGCACCUCGAUGUUGGCUUAG